AUUGAACGCUGGCGGCAGGCUUAACACAUGCAAGUCGAGCGGAGAUGAGGUGCUUGCACCUUAUCUUAGCGCGACGGGUGAGUAAUGCUUAGGAAUCUGCCUAUUAGUGGGGGACAACAUUCCGAAAGGAAUGCUAAUACCGCAUACGUCCUACGGGGAGAAAAGCAGGGGGAUCUUCGGACCUUGCGCUAAUAGAUGAGCCUAAGUCGGAUUAGCUGGUUGGUGGGGUAAAGGCCUACCAAGGCGACGAUCUGUAGCGGGUCUGAGAGGAUGAUCCGCCACACUGGGACUGAGAAACGGCCCAGACUCCUACGGGAGGCAGCAGUGGGGAAUAUUGGACAAUGGGGGAACCCUGAUCCAGCCAUGCCGCGUGUGUGAAGAAGGCCUUAUGGUUGUAAAGCACUUUAAGCGAGGAGGAGGCUACUGAGACUAAUACUCUUGGAUAGUGGACGUUACUCGCAGAAUAAGCACCGGCUAACUCUGUG
rnacentral:rRNA from 1 species